CCUCCCACCCGUGUUUACUGUACCUUAGUUGCUUCGGCGGGCCCGCCAUUCAUGGCCGCCGGGGGCUCUCAGCCCCGGGCCCGCGCCCGCCGGAGACACCACGAACUCUGUCUGAUCUAGUGAAGUCUGAGUUGAUUGUAUCGCAAUCAGUUAAAACUUUCAACAAUGGAUCUCUUGGUUCCGGCAUCGAUGAAGAACGCAGCGAAAUGCGAUAACUAGUGUGAAUUGCAGAAUUCCGUGAAUCAUCGAGUCUUUGAACGCACAUUGCGCCCCCUGGUAUUCCGGGGGGCAUGCCUGUCCGAGCGUCAUUGCUGCCCAUCAAGCACGGCUUGUGUGUUGGGUCGUCGUCCCCUCUCCGGGGGGGACGGGCCCCAAAGGCAGCGGCGGCACCGCGUCCGAUCCUCGAGCGUAUGGGGCUUUGUCACCCGCUCUGUAGGCCCGGCCGGCGCUUGCCGAACGCAAAUCAAUCUUUUUCCAGGUUGACCUCGGAUCAGGUAGGGAUACCCGCUGAACUUAAGCAUAUCAAUA
rnacentral:rRNA from 2 species